CCUACGGGAGACUGCAGUGGGGAAUAUUGGGCAAUGGGCGCAAGCCUGACCCAGCAACGCCGCGUGAAGGAAUAAGGCUUUCGGGUUGUAAACUUCUUUUCUCAGGGACGAAGCAAGUGACGGUACCUGAGUAAUAAGCCACGGCUAACUACGUGCCAGCCGCCGCGGUAAUACGUAGGUGGCAAGCGUUAUUCGGAUUUACUGGGUGUAAAGGGCGAGUAGGCGGGAAAGCAAGUCAGAUGUUAAAACCAUGGGGUCAACCUGUGGCCUGCAUUUGAAACUGUUUUUCUUGAGUACUGGAGAGGCAGACGGAAUUACAAGUGUAGCGGUGAAAUGCGUAGAUAUUAGGAGGAACACCAGUGGCGAAGGCGGUCUGCUGGACAGCAACUGACGCUGAGGCGCGAAAGCGUGGGGAGCAAACAGGAUUAGAUACCCGAGUAGUC
rnacentral:rRNA from 1 species